rnacentral:rRNA from 1 species
CACGUAGGGGCGAGCGUUGUCCGGAAUUACUGGGCGUAAAGGGCGCGCAGGCUGUUAUGCGAGUCUGCUGUGAAAUGUACCGGCUCAACCGGUGCCUUGCGGCGGAUACUGCAUAGCUGGAGUACUGGAGAGGGAAGUGGAAUUCCCGGUGUAGCGGUGAAAUGCGUAGAGAUUAGGAAGAACACCAGUGGCGAAGGCGAUUCUCUGGACUGUAACUGACGCUGAGGCUCGAAAGCGUGGGGAGCAAACAGGAUUAGAUA